rnacentral:tRNA from 1 species
GGGCGAAAACACUUUUUUAAAAUUUGACUUUUAAUCAAGUUGUCCGGGGUUCGAAUCCCCGCACGCUCA